UUCUGAAACUGACUGUAAACAGCUUCUGAUGCUAACAUACCUCCUUUUUUCUUAUCAUAAAGGAAGGGGGUGGGGCAAGGUGGUGGUGGGGAAGCUGAUGAUGAAAGGGGAAUAGGGGCAUCAGAUUUCUUAAAUUGCUUCCUGCUGUCUAGGGCAUCAUCAGUUUUGUGGUACCUGACUUUCCGCAUGGGAUCCACUUGACAGUCAUUCACAUCAGGCUCCUCUGUGGACAGUGGCAGGUGUUAGCAUUUUGUCUAACCUCUGCCCCACAGUUACCUGGCAACAGGUCUUUUACCAAUUUUGCACCAAUUAUUUUGAAACUAGCCAAUCUGGAAAACUACGAGGACAGACCCCAGCUGAUAGGGAAAGCACAAAGUUAGCACCUUCAUCAGGCUGACACCCAGGUAUACAUCCUUCCUGAUGUCCUUGUUAGCCCAGUGUGGUGUUUUUUUGUUUUUUUUUUUUUUUUGUUGUUGUUGUUGUUGUACUCUUUACAAAAAGAAUUGCCUUGUCAAGCUACUGUUGUUCUGUUCCUGCAUUCCUUUGUGUGAAAAUGAGAUUACUCUUUGUUUACAGCAAGUUGCGGGCUCAUCCAGGAUUUCAAACACAUCUGGAAGAAUGUUUAGAUUACCUCCCUUGAAAGAAACACAUCUGUUGUUGGAAUGCCUCUCAGGUUUCAAGUGAGCUCUGCUCAGAUUAGAUCACUAAAGAAAGAAAGUUUCUCAGCAGUGUGGGAAAGGCUCUAGGGCAAAUACUGCAGUGACCAAGAAAACUCUCUGUACAGGCCAAGGCGUUGUCAUUUGGAGGUCCCACCGAGAUCGGGAAAGAGAGGACAGCCUGACGGGAUCGUUCCAAAAGGCCGGCCGGCAAGGAAGUGGCGACCACGGGGCAAAGCUGAAAGAGACAGGUCUGCUUGCAGCACCCCAUUCUACUUCAAGGGAGAUGAUGAGCAUCAGAGGACCUCCAUAUGGAGUUUACCUCAGAGAUGGCACGCUAGCCACUGCAGAAACUGCCCUUCAACUGCUGACAAUAUGCUGUCCAGUUUACAACAUGCAGUGAAGUCAGCUGCUGAGCUUUGCCAACAUAGGGAUCUUGAGGGGCCCAUGGAGACUGAUGAUUUCGAAGUGGGUUUUGGGUACUAGCUUUCCAGAGUCUGGGAGGAACCCAUGCACGUAUCUACACAGACUCACAAGUUCCAUCCUCCUGGUCCAGAAACUAUCCGAGUCUUAGGACCAAUUUUAAAUACUAACUACAGUCCCCUCCACAGCCCGCCUUCCACCAUUUCCUCACAAAUCUUUGUGGGCUCCGCAUUUCUUAGAAGUAGAAGAUUUCCAGUAAGUGAAGCUGCUGUUGGCAUGGCUUAGAAAUUUUGUGCCCCUGCACACCCCCAGGAGUGUGCCAGAGGGAGCAGCAGGCUGUGUGGAAGAAGAGGACUAAGAAGACAGAGGGACAACACGGAGGAGAGGACAGAGGCGAGCUCCGAGCGGAGCGCACAGCUGUGUCUGACCCAAGCUGGACUUCAGCAAGUCUGCUCCUGCCUGGAUGAGCCCUGGGCUCCACAUCCCUGCUUGAGGACCACCCAGAGAGUCUCCAGCAGGGUCAGAAUCCCUCUGCAGCAGAAUUUCAGAGAAGUUAAAAUCCUCCCACUAGAGGGCACCGAUGCGCCUCGCAGAACCGAGAGACUCGGAGGAGCUUCUGGGUCUGAGCCAGCCUUCUGGGGUGAGGGGGAGGAUCUGGUGCCUUUCUUGGUCAAGGACCCUCCAAGUGCCUCCAUAGUCACACCCAUGCACCCCGGAGGCUGCAGGAGACCAGACCUACAGGAGCUGAGUCAGUCCUACGGAUCAAUGAGGUGACAGAUGUCAAUCACCUUAACAUCUUGCAUUUGGGGGUCUUUGUGCCUCUCUAGUCUGUAUCCUGCAUGGUCCCUUUGGCUGAAUGUUAACUCUUCUAUUGAAUUCUUUGCUGGCUGCUGCACUAUUGACAGUUCUAUAUCUACUAGCUCAUUAAAAAAAGAACUCUGA